GAUGAAGAACGUAGUGAAAUGCGAUACGUAAUGUGAAUUGCGGAAUUCAGUGAAUCAUCGAAUCUUUGAACGCAUAUUGCGCUCUCUGGUAUUCCGGAGAGCAUGCUUGUUUGAGUAUCAGUAAACACCUCAACUUCCAUAUCUUUUUUGAAAUGGGAGUUGGACUUGAGUGAUCCCAACGCUUUUCCUCACCGAAAAGUGGCGGGUUACUUGAAAUGCAGGUGCAGCUGGACUUUUCUCUGAGCUAUAAGCAUAUCUAUUUAGUCUGCCUAAAAAACAGAUUAUUACCUUUGCUGCAGCUAACAUAAAGGAGAUUAGUUCUUGUGCUGACUGAUGCAGGAUUCACAAAGACAGGCUUCGGCCGACUUUGUAAACUCGAUCUCAAAUCAAGUAAGACUACCCGCUGAACUUAAGCAUAUCAAUAAGCGGAGGA
rnacentral:misc_RNA from 1 species